rnacentral:rRNA from 1 species
GUCGAAUGUAGCAAUACAUGGCGUACUGCUCAGUAACACGUGGACAACCUACCCUUAGGUCGGGGAUAAACCCGGGAAACUGGGUAUAAUACCCGAUAGUCCUCGGAUGCUGGAAUGCACCGAGGUCUAAAGCUCCGGCGCCUAAGGAUGGGUCUGCGGCCUAUCAGGUAGUAGUGGGUGUAGCGUACCUACUAGCCUACGACGGGUACGGGUUGUGAGAGCAAGAGCCCGGAGAUGGAUUCUGAGACACGAAUCCAGGCCCUACGGGGUGCAGCAGGCGCGAAAACUUUACAAUGCUGGAAACAGCGAUAAGGGGACCUCGAGUGCCAGGUUACAAAUCUGGCUGUCGUGAUGCCUAAAAAGCAUUGCAUAGCAAGGGCCGGGCAAGACCGGUGCCAGCCGCCGCGGUAACACCGGCGGCUCGAGUGGUAACCGCUAUUAUUGGGUCUAAAGGGUC